rnacentral:rRNA from 1 species
UACGUAGGCAGCGAGCGUUGUUCGGAGUUACUGGGCGUAAAGGGUGUGUAGGCGGUUGUUUAAGUUUGGUGUGAAAUCUCCCGGCUCAACUGGGAGGGUGCGCCGAAUACUGAAUGACUUCGAGUGCGGGAGAGGAGAGUGGAAUUCCUGGUGUAGCGGUGAAAUGCGUAGAUAUCAGGAGGAACACCGGUGGUGUAGACGGCUCUCUAGACCGUAACUGACGCUGAGACACGAAAAGCGUGGGUAGCGAACCGG